rnacentral:lncRNA from 1 species
UGGCUACUUUAAAGGUGUUUUUUUGUUUUAAAUGUUGUUUUGUUUGGUGAGUUGUUAGAUCGAAAAAGGAUAUGUCUAGGAACUUUAAAGGUACUUUUCUAUUUUGAAAAUGGUUAUGUUUGGUGACUUGUUAGGUUGAAAAUGGUUAAGUGUAGGGACUUUAAAGGUGCAUUUUUUUUAAAGUGGUUAUGUUUAGUGACUUGGUAGGUUGAAAAUGGUUAAAUGUCGGGACUAUAAAGGUUCUUUUUAGUUUUGAAAAUGGUUAUGUUUGGUGACGUGGUAGGUUGAAAAUGGUUAAGUGUAGGGACUUUAAAGGUGCUUUUUUUGUUUUGAAAGUUCUUAUGUUUGGUUUGUCGGUAGGUUGAAAAUGGUUAAAUGUUGUGACUUUAAAGGUGUUUUUUUUAAAAGUGAUUAUGUUUGGUCACUUUGUAGGUGUAAAAUGGUUAAGUAUAGGUACUUUAAAGAUGCUUUUUUGCUUUAAAAGUGUUUAUGUUUGGGGACUUGGUAGGUUGAAAAUGGUUAAGUGUAGGGAUUUUGUAGGUGCUUUUUUAUUUGAAAAUGGUUAUGGUUGGUGACUUGGUAGGUUGAAAAUGGUGAUGUGUAGGGACUUUAAAGGCGAUUUUUCGCUUUGAAAGUAGUUAUGCUUCGUGACUUGAUUGGUUGAAAAUGGUUAAUUGUAGGGACUUUAAAGGUGGUUUUUUUUUUUAGAAUUGGUUGUGUUUGGUGACUUUUGUUUUAAAUGUGGUUAUGUUUCGAGAGUUGGUAGAUUGAAUUUUUUUUUUUUUGAAAGUGGUUUUGCUUGGUGGCUUGGCAGGUUGAAAAUUGUUAAGUUUAGGGACUUUAAAGGUUUUUUUUUUGUUUUGGAAGUGGUUAUGUUAAGUGACUUGGUAGGUUGAAAAUGGUUAAGUGUAGGGACUUUAAAGGAGUAUUUUUUUAAUUUUGUUAAGUUUGGUGACUUGGUAGGUUUAAAAUACUUAAGUGUACGGAAUUUAAAGAUGUUUUUUUUGGUGUGAAUAUGGUUAUGUUUGGUGAUUUGGUAGGUUUAAAAUGAAUGUAGAGACUUUAAAGAUUUUUUUUUGGUUUGAAUGUAGUUAUGUUUGGAGAGUUGGUACAUUGAAAAUAGUUAAGUGUAGGAACUUUAAAGGUGCUUUUUAAUUUUGAAAGUGGUUACGUUUUGCGUUUGGUAGGUAGAAAAUGGUUAAAUGUAGGGACUUUAAAGGUGCUUUUAUGUUUUUAAAGUGGUUAUGUUUUGUGACUUGGUAGGUUAAAAAUGGUAAAGGGUAGGGACUUUAAAGGUGCUUUUUUAUUUGGAAAGUUAUUAUGUUUGGUGACUUAGUAGGUUGAAAAUGGUUAAGUGUAGGUACUUCAAAUGUGUUUUCUUGUAUUGAAAGUGGUUAUGUUUGGUGACUUGGUAGGUUGGAAAUGGUUAAGUGUAGGGACUUUAACGGUGCUUUUUUGUUUUUGAAGUGGUUAUGUUUUGUAUCUUGGUAGGUUGAAAAUGGUUAAAUAUAGUGACUUUAAAGGUGUUCUCCUUAAGUGGUUAUGUUUGGUGACUUGGUAGGUUAAAAAUGGUUAAGUGUAGGGACUUUAAAGGUGAUUUUUUUUUUGAAAGUGGUUAUGUUAGGUGACUUGGUAGAUUUAAAAUGGGUCAGUGUAUGGACUUUAUUGGUCCUUUUUUAUUUGGAAAGUCGUUAUUAUUGGUGACUUGGUAGGUGGAAAAUAGUUGUGUAGGGACUUUAAAGGUUGUUUUUUUAUUUUGAAAGUGAUUUAUUUGGUAACUUGCUUGGUUUAAAAUGGUUAAAUAAAGGGACUUUAAGUGUUUUUUUUUAACUGGUUAAGUUUGGAGACUUGGAAUGUCGAAAAUUGUUAAGUGUAGGGACUUUAAAGGUUCUUUAUUCUUUUGGAAGUGGUUAUGUAGGGUGACUUGGUAGGUUGAAAAAUGUUAAGUGCAGGGAAUUUGAAUGUGUUAUUUUUGAUUUUAAAAGUGGUUAUGUUUGAUGAGUUGAAAGGUUGAAAAUUAUUAUGUGUGGCUACUUUAAAGGUGUUUUUUUUGUUUUAAAUGUUGUUUUGUUUGGUGAGUUGUUAGAUCGACAAAGGAUAUGUCUAGGAACCUUAAAGGUACUUUUCUGUUUUGAAAAUGGUUAUGUUUGGUGACUUGUUAGGUUGAAAAUGUUUAAGUGUAGGGACUUUAAAGGUGCAUUUUUUUUAAAGUGGUUAUGUUUGGUGACUUGGUAGGUUGAAAAUGGUUAAAUGUUGUGACUUUAAAGGUGUUUUUUUAAAAAGUGAUUAUGUUUGGUCACUUGGUAGGUGUAAAAUGGUUAAGUGUAGGUACUUUAAAGAUGCUUUUUUGUUUUGAAAGUGUUUAUGUUUGGGGACUUGGUAGGUUGAAAAUGGUUAAG